rnacentral:lncRNA from 1 species
AAAAGAUUUUUUUUUUGUUUUGUUAAUAUGUCAUUCACGUAGCAUAUUAAUAUAAACAAUGUUCUGUUUUCAGUAUUUUACAGGCCAGCCAGGGAAGUAACUGAAUACACUUCCUUGGAGAAAGAAUAGAAGGCUCAGAAGAUGUCCAAAUCUGGUGCACCCCUGCUGCAUCAGGCAUAUUGUUCUAGGCUGCUGUGCAAAUGUGGCUGCCAGGUGUGCAGCGGAAUGUCCCUAAUCUGAAAGCUGCUACACUGACUGCCUAUCAACAUGCAAAUUAAUCAUCAAGUGACGAGUCCCAUAUUCGCUCAAAGUAAAAGUCUUUAAAGGGAUUUGUGAAAAAAAAAAAAAAAAAAAAGGAGGGGGGGAAGUAAAAAAGCUUUUUUUUUUUUUUGGCUUUGUUUAUUUGUUUUUCUGAUGCAGUUGCUGGUAUGGGGAGCAAACAAUGGGUUUUGAAUC